CAGGGGCAGAAUUAUCCUUUGAAGAAGGAUUUGCAGUGUGAGACGGAUAAGUUGACUCAUUUCUAUACCUUUAUUCUUCGUCCGGAUGCGACUUAUAGCAUUUUGAUUGAUAAUCGGGAGAGGGACUCGGGUAGCAUGUAUACGGAUUGGGAUAUUCUUCCGCCGCGGAAGAUUAAAGAAGUUAAUGCUAAGAAGCCGAAGGAUUGGGAUGAUAGGGAGUAUAUUGAAGAUCCGAAUGAUGUCAAACCCGAGGGAUAUAAUUCGAUUCCUGCUGAGAUUCCGGAUCCAAAGGCUAGAAAGCCUGCCUCGUGGGAUGAAGAUGAUGAUGGUAUAUGGAAGGCACCAAAGGU
rnacentral:misc_RNA from 1 species